rnacentral:rRNA from 1 species
UACGAAGGGGGCUAGCGUUGCUCGGAAUCACUGGGCGUAAAGGGCGCGUAGGUGGCCCCUCAAGCGUGCGGUGAAAGUCAGGGGCUCAACCCCUGAUCGGCCGUGCGAACUGGGGAGCUUGAGCACUGUAGAGGCAGGCGGAAUUCCGGGUGUAGCGGUGGAAUGCGUAGAGAUCCGGAAGAACACCGGUGGCGAAGGCGGCCUGCUGGCAGUUUUGCUGACACUGAGGCGCGACAGCGUGGGGAGCAAACAGG